UGUGUGUGUGUGUGUGAAGGUGUUUUGAGAAUGUGCGCCGUUUCGGGCUUACCUCUCGACGACAUCAAUGCGCACCGGCUCCCCUCACUGAUAUGAGGCUCCGCUUUCUAGACCAACUGGUUAUUAAAACAAAACUCAAUAUUCU